CGGCGGACGGGUGAGUAAUGCCUAGGAAUCUGCCUGGUAGUGGGGGACAACGUUUCGAAAGGAACGCUAAUACCGCAUACGACCUACGGGUGAAAGCAGGGGAUCUUCGGACCUUGCGCGAUUGAAUGAGCCGAUGUCGGAUUAGCUAGUUGGCGGGGUAAAGGCCCACCAAGGCGACGAUCCGUAGCUGGUCUGAGAGGAUGAUCAGCCACACUGGAACUGAGACACGGUCAGACUCCUACGGGAGGCAGCAGGG
rnacentral:rRNA from 1 species